GACGAACGCUGGCGGCGUGCUUAACACAUGCAAGUCGAACGGAAAGGCCCUGCUUUUGUGGGGUGCUCGAGUGGCGAACGGGUGAGUAACACGUGAGUAACCUGCCCUUGACUUUGGGAUAACUUCAGGAAACUGGGGCUAAUACCGGAUAGGAGCUCCUGCUGCAUGGUGGGGGUUGGAAAGUUUCGGCGGUUGGGGAUGGACUCGCGGCUUAUCAGCUUGUUGGUGGGGUAGUGGCUUACCAAGGCUUUGACGGGUAGCCGGCCUGAGAGGGUGACCGGCCACAUUGGGACUGAGAUACGGCCCAGACUCCUACGGGAGGCAGCAGUGGGGAAUAUUGCACAAUGGGCGGAAGCCUGAUGCAGCAACGCCGCGUGCGGGAUGACGGCCUUCGGGUUGUAUACCGCUUUCGCCUGUGACGAAGCGUGAGUGACGGUAAUGGGUAAAGAAGCACCGGCUAACUACGU
rnacentral:rRNA from 1 species